GAUGAACGCUGGCGGCGUGCCUAAUACAUGCAAGUCGAGCGAACGGACGAGAAGCUUGCUUCCCUGAUGUUAGCGGCGGACGGGUGAGUAACACGUGGAUAACCUACCUAUAAGACUGGGAUAACUUCGGGAAACCGUAGCUAAUACCGGAUAAUAUUUUGAACCGCAUGGUUCAAAAGUGAAAGACGGUCUUGCUGUCACUUAUAGACGGAUCCGCGCUGCAUUAGCUAGUUGGUAAGGCAACGGCUUACCAAGGCAACGAUGCAUAGCCGAUCUGAGAGGGUGAUCGGCCACACUGGAACUGAGACACGGUCCAGACUCCUACGGGAGGCAGCAGUAGGGAAUCUUCCGCAAUGGGCGAAAGCCUGACGGAGCCACGCCGCGUGAGUGAUGAAGGUCUUCGGAUCGUAAAACUCUGUUAUUAGGGAAGAACAUAUGUGUAAGUAACUGUGCACAUCUUGACGGUACCUAAUCAGAAAGCCACGGCUAACUACGUG
rnacentral:rRNA from 1 species